AUACGGAAGGUCCGGGCGUUAUCCGGAUUUAUUGGGUUUAAAGGGAGCGCAGGCGGAGAUGCAAGCGUGACGUCAAAUUUCGGGGCUCAACCCCGUCUCGCGUCGCGAACUGCGUCCCUUGGUUGCGGGAAGGGGAGGCGGAACUCGUGGGGGAGCGGGGAAAUGCAUAGAUAUCACGAAGAACUCCGAUCGCGAAGGCAGCCUUCCGGCCCGUCAACGACGCUCAUGCUCGAAGGUGCGGGUAUCAAACAGGAUUAGAUACCCUGGUAGUCCGCACAGUAAACGAUGGACACCCGCGGUUUGGCCUAUAUGGCUGAGCCGCCAAGCGAAAGCGUUAAGUGUCCCACCUGGGGAGUACGCCGGCAACGGUGAAACUUAAAGGAAUUGACGGGG
rnacentral:rRNA from 1 species